GACGAACGCUGGCGGCGUGCUUAACACAUGCAAGUCGAACGGAGUGGAGAACGGGAGAGUAACACGUGGGUGACCUGCCCUGCACUUCGGGAUAAGCCUGGGAAACUGGGUCUAAUACCGGAUAGUGUGGGAUGGGCCCGCGGCCUUUCGGCUUGUUGGUGGGGUAAUGGCCUACCAAGGCGGCGACGGGUAGCCGGCCUGCGAGGGGGGCCGGCCACAGUGGGACGGAAGCAGGGCGCAGACGGCUACGGGAGGGAGCAGUGUGGAAUAUUGCAGAAUGGGCGGAAGCCUGAUGCAGCGACGCCGCGUGUGGGAUGACGGCCGUCGGGUUGUAAACUCCGUUCACCAUCGACGCGGUAGGUGGAGAAGAAGCACCGGCUAACUACGUGCCAGCCGCCGCGGUAAUAG
rnacentral:rRNA from 1 species